rnacentral:tRNA from 1 species
AAAUAAUGAAGUAAAAUACAUUUAGUUUCGACCUAAAAUUAGAGUUUAGACUCCUUAUUUA